GAUGAACGCUGGCGGCGUGCCUAAUACAUGCAAGUCGAGCGAACGGACGAGAAGCUUGCUUCUCUGAUGUUAGCGGCGGACGGGUGAGUAACACGUGGAUAACCUACCUAUAAGACUGGGAUAACUUCGGGAAACCGGAGCUAAUACCGGAUAAUAUUUUGAACCGCAUGGUUCAAAAGUGAAAGACGGUCUUGCUGUCACUUAUAGAUGGAUCCGCGCUGCAUUAGCUGGUUGGUAAGGUAACGGCUUACCAAGGCAACGAUGCAUAGCCGACCUGAGAGGGUGAUCGGCCACACUGGAACUGAGACACGGUCCAGACUCCUACGGAAGGCAGCAGUAGGGAAUCUUCCGCAAUGGGCGAAAGCCUGACGGAGCAACGCCGCGUGAGUGAUGAAGGUCUUCGGAUCGUAAAACUCUGUUAUUAGGGAAGAACAUAUGUGUAAGUAACUGUGCACAUCUUGACGGUACCUAAUCAGAAAGCCACGGCUAACUACGUG
rnacentral:rRNA from 1 species